rnacentral:lncRNA from 1 species
AGCAAAUGAAAUUUUGUCAUAAUGAGCAGUAUACUUAUCAGUAUACAAUGGUUUCCCAAUAGUACUUGCCAACUUACUCAGCACCUCUGUGGACCAAUACCCCCAGGCAGACCUGGAAAUCGAAUCCAAAUAGGUAUAGUGCUCAGCACACUAGCCUGAAAAUUGAAAUCAAUUUCCCAAGGUCUUAGAACCAUUGGCUUGCUUCUAAAUGUAUAUGGACCAGAUUGCAUGACUGUAUCCCUGUCUUCAGCAUUAUUGAAUCGAAAAAUACAAUAACCUUCAGCAUGCAUAAGGAUUUGAGGCUUAGUAACAAAAUUCCAAAU